rnacentral:rRNA from 1 species
UGGCGGACGGGUGAGUAAUGUCUGGGAAACUGCCUGAUGGAGGGGGAUAACUACUGGAAACGGUGGCUAAUACCGCAUAACGUCGCAAGACCAAAGAGGGGGACCUUCGGGCCUCUUGCCAUCAGAUGUGCCCAGAUGGGAUUAGCUUGUUGGUGAGGUAACGGCUCACCAAGGCGACGAUCCCUAGCUGGUCUGAGAGGAUGACCAGCCACACUGGAACUGAGACACGGUCCAGACUCCUACGGGAGGCAGCAGUGGGGAAUAUUGCACAAUGGGCGCAAGCCUGAUGCAGCCAUGCCGCGUGUAUGAAGAAGGCCUUCGGGUUGUAAAGUACUUUCAGCGGGGAGGAAGGUGUUGUGGUUAAUAACCGCAGCAAUUGACGUUACCCGCAGAAGAAGCACCGGCUAACUCCGUGCCAGCAGCCGCGGUAAUACGGAGGGUGCAAGCGUUAAUCGGAAUUACUGGGCGUAAAGCGCACGCAGGCGGUCUGUCAAGUCGGAUGUGAAAUCCCCGGGCUCAACCUGGGAACUGCAUUCGAAACUGGCAGGCUUGAGUCUUGUAGAGGGGGGUAGAAUUCCAGGUGUAGCGGUGAAAUGCGUAGAGAUCUGGAGGAAUACCGGUGGCGAAGGCGGCCCCCUGGACAAAGACUGACGCUCAGGUGCGAAAGCGUGGGGAGCAAACAGGAUUAGAUACCCUGGUAGUCCACGCCGUAAACGAUGUCUACUUGGAGGUUGUGCCCUUGAGGCGUGGCUUCCGGAGCUAACGCGUUAAGUAGACCGCCUGGGGAGUACGGCCGCAAGGUUAAAACUCAAAUGAAUUGACGGGGGCCCGCACAAGCGGUGGAGCAUGUGGUUUAAUUCGAUGCAACGCGAAGAACCUUACCUGGUCUUGACAUCCACAGAAGAAUCCAGAGAUGGAUUUGUGCCUUCGGGAACUGUGAGACAGGUGCUGCAUGGCUGUCGUCAGCUCGUGUUGUGAAAUGUUGGGUUAAGUCCCGCAACGAGCGCAACCCUUAUCCUUUGUUGCCAGCGGUUAGGCCGGGAACUCAAAGGAGACUGCCAGUGAUAAACUGGAGGAAGGUGGGGAUGACGUCAAGUCAUCAUGGCCCUUACGACCAGGGCUACACACGUGCUACAAUGGCGCAUACAAAGAGAAGCGACCUCGCGAGAGCAAGCGGACCUCAUAAAGUGCGUCGUAGUCCGGAUUGGAGUCUGCAACUCGACUCCAUGAAGUCGGAAUCGCUAGUAAUCGUGGAUCAGAAUGCCACGGUGAAUACGUUCCCGGGCCUUGUACACACCGCCCGUCACACCAUGGGAGUGGGUUGCAAAAGAAGUAGGUAGCUUAACCUUCGGGAGGGCGCUUACCACUUUGUGAUUCAUGACUGGGGUGAAGUCGUAACAAGGUAACCGUAGGGGAACCUGCGGUUGGAUCACCUCCUUACCUUAAAGAA